GGUUUAUACUGUUGAUGAUUGGAAUGCCUUUGUAAAGAAAAGGACAAGCGAUUCAUUUAUGAAAAUGCAUGAAGAAGAAAAGGCAAUCGCAAAAAUGUGUAUGAUCACCAUAUGUUGCAUAAGGGAUACGUGGGAUUGAGAGAAGAGAUGUCUAAAAUUGUGCCGGAGGAGGAAAUCGAUAGAGCAACGCUUUGGGUCAAAGGACGCCAAACCAAAUGAGGAACUUUUAAACAUGAUGCUAUUAAAGAUACUGCUGAAAAAAAUUGUAUGUACCUUAUACUUGUUUCAUUUUGCUAUUCUAGUUUGGUGUCAUUAUUGAAUUUCUUAAAUUUAACCUGAAACCUAUAUUGCAUAUGGUAGGAGACACUGAAACGUAAGGAAUGGGAUGGCGAACUGAUCGUAAAUGGAAGUAACGAUGUGCUGAUAUUAGCUUUGGGGACUCCAGAGCACACGGGCAAAGUUAGAGGCGUAGGGGGUUAUGUUUGUAACCCAAACAUAUACUUCCACUUCCCAAAACGCAGAAAUGAGAGCGUUAAUGAGUCAAUAAGACAAAGUGUGAGGAAGAUACUUGAAGAAGAGAAACAGAAGUUGGAAGAUGAGUUGGGGGAGAAGAUAUAUGCUACAGAGAGGGAAAAGAUAGUGGGCAAAGAGAGGAAAAAGAUAGCGGCUGAGAUAAGUGAAAAGAUAGCAGCCUAUGAGAGGGAAAAGUGGUACUUAAGCGAGCCUUGCUCCACCGACAUCUCUCUACUCACCUGGUCACAUUUGCUUUGGAGCUACUGAAAGAAGUUAGACCGCAUUAGCUAGUUUUUGGAUUAGAUUCUCUCUAGUGAAAGAGACAAUGAUGUAAUUUCGUUGGCUUAUUAAUAAAAG